rnacentral:rRNA from 1 species
UACGGAGGAUGCAAGCGUUAUCCGGAUUCAUUGGGUUUAAAGGGUGCGCAGGCGGAUUGGUAAGUCAGUGGUGAAAUUCAACAGCUUAACUGUUGACCUGCCAUUGAUACUGUCAGUCUAGAGUAUAGUUGGAGUGGGCGGAAUGUGUCAUGUAGCGGUGAAAUGCUUAGAUAUGACACAGAACGCCGAUCGCGAAGGCAACUUACUAAGCCAUUACUGACGCUGAGGCACGAAAGCGUGGGGAUCAAACAGG